rnacentral:rRNA from 1 species
UACAGAGGGUGCAAGCGUUGUUCGGAUUCAUUGGGCGUAAAGGGUGUGUAGGUGGCGCCGUAAGUCGGGUGUGAAAUUUCGGAGCUUAACUCCGAAACUGCAUUCGAUACUGCGGUGCUUGAGGACUGGAGAGGAGACUGGAAUUCAUGGUGUAGCAGUGAAAUGCGUAGAGAUCAUGAGGAAGACCAGUGGCGAAGGCGGGUCUCUGGACAGUUCCUGACACUGAGACACGAAGGCCAGGGGAGCGAACGGG